ACGGAUCUCCGGGAAUUUAAGAAACGGUGAAACGCAGAAUCUGGGAGCGCAGAAACAGAAGGACACAGAGAGAGAGAUCCAAUCUCGGAGGGGCUCUCGCCCCUCCGCCUCCAUGGAGACCAUGGACCAGAGGGGAAACCCUUCUCCCAUCUAGGGAGGAGGUCAAGUAAUAAGAAGAAGGAGGGGGGCUCUCUCCCCCUCUCUCCCGACGGCGCCGGAAUGCCGCCCAGGACAUCAUCGUGUGACUGCGAUGUACACCAACACCUCCGUCAUCUUCACCAACAUCUCCAUCAUCUUCCCCCAUCUAUAUUCAGCGGUUCACUCUCCCGCAACCCGCUGUACCCUCUACUUGAAUAUGGUGCUUUAUGCUACAUAUUAUUAUCCAAUGAUGUGUUGCUAUCCUAUGAUGUUUGAGUAGAUUAUCAUUGUCCUAUCGGUGAUUGAUGAAUUGCUAUGAUUGAUUUAAUUUGCUUGUGGUUAUGUUGCUGUCCUUUGGUCCCCAUCAUAUGAUCGCGCGCGUGGAUAACACCAUAGGGUUAGUUGUAUGUUGAUAGGACUAUGUAUUGGCAGGCUAGAGUGACAGAAGCUUCAAACCUAGCAUAGAAAUUGAUGCAUAUGGGAUUGAAGGGGGACCAAUAUAUCUUAUUACUAUCGUUGGGUUUUACCUUAAUGAACGUUAGUAGUUGCGGACGCUUGCUAAUAGUUCCAAUCAUAAGUGCAUAGAAUUCCAAGUAAGGGAUGACAUGCUAGCAGAGGCCUCUCCCACAUGAUACUUGCUAUCGAUCUAGUAACGUAGUCAAUUGCUUAGGGACAAUUCCGCAGUUCCUACCACCACUUUUCCACACUCGUUAGACACUCGUCUUUGAUUCUUUUUCUAACCAGCCCCUAGUUUUAUUUACGUGUUCUUUACUUUCUUGCAAGCCUAUCCUUUCACUCCUACAAGGUACUUCUAGUUUCAUACUUGUUCUAGUUAAAGCGAACGUAAAGUGUGCGUAGAGUUGUAUCAGUGGUCGAUAGAACUUCGGGGAAUAUUUGUCCUACCUUUAGCUCCUUGUUGGGUUCGACACUCUUACUUAUCGAGAAAGGCUACAAUUGAUCCCCUAUACUUGUGGGUUAUCAACACCUUUUUCUGGCGCCGUUGCCGGGGAGAGAUAGCGUGAGGUGAAUAUCCUCGUGUGUGCUUGUUUGCUUUAUCACUAAGUAGAUAUAUUUUCUGUUCUAAGUUUUUCUCUAUCUUUAGUUAUGGAUAUGGAACACGAAAUACCAAAAAAAUUAGGUGUACUUGCUACUCAUGGAGAUGGGAAACCUCCUAAAACCCUCGAGGCUCGCUAUGUGGAAAAUAUUAUGCACUUCUUUAAUAAUCCUGAGAAAGCCCCAUUCAAUUAUAUAAUGGGAUACACGUUGGAUCAACAUGAAUACUUUAGGGAUUAUCACUUGACUCAAAAAGGGAAACUUUUAUGGGAUCAAAUCCAUUUGUUGAAAUGGUAUGCUUGGGAACUAUGCAAGAGAUAUGGUGUUACUUGUUGCUCUAGGAUGAAGGCUCCACACCUUCCCUUUUCUUGUGAAUUUAAUGGUCAUAGAACCUUGGCUUCUUAUGCUAAUGGUAUAUAUGAUUACUAUGAUGUGGAUCAAAUAGAAGAGUUUGUUGCUUUUAUGGCUGCUUAUGAAAUUGAGGCUCUGUUUAAAAGGUGUGAUGAUAAUCAUGAUGCUCCUUACCGAUCUGAAAAUUUGGCUAUGCUUCGUUAUUGUUAUACUAAUUAUGAAUAUAAUGCCCAUAUUGAACGAUUUAAGGAGAAAUCCUAUGCUGCCCAAGAAGAGACUAUUAUUUUGCAGGAAACUAUGGAAGAAGAAAAUGCUGAAAUUGUGAGCUCAUUAGAUGAAAAAGAUGAAGAGGAGAGCGAAAAACAAAAGGAGGAAGAGCGGACUAGCUACCUGUGUCCACCUUCUAAUGAGAGUAACUCUUCUACUCAUACAUUAUUUAAUUUCCCUUCGUUCUUACCGAAGGAUGAAUGCUAUGAUCCCUUGGAUUCGUUUGAAAUAUCCCUUUUUGAUGAACUUGAUGCAUGCUAUGCUUGUGGCCAUGUUGCCAAUAUGAAUGAUGCUUAUGAAGAUGAGCUAGCUAUAGUCCCUUAUGUUAAACAUGAUGAUUUUGAUGAAUAUAAUAUGCAUGUGCUUGCUGCUCCUACUUGCAGUUAUUAUGAGAGCAGAACUACAUCUCCACCUCUCUAUGUUUCCAAUACGAUAAAAUUGCAAGAAACUGCUUAUGCUAUGUAUUGGCCUUUCCUUGGUGUGCAUGAAUUGUUCUUUUAUGACAUGCCAAUGCAUAGGAAGAGAGUUAGACUUCGUCAUUGCUUCAUAUAUGUUACCUUGUGCUCACUACUAAAUUUCAAAUCAUUGCUAAUUAAAAUUGGCUUUGAUAUACCUUGGGAUCCGGGUGGAUCCAUUACUUGAGCACUUUAUGCCUAGCUUAAUGGCUUUAAAGAAAGAGUUGCCUGGGAGACAAUCCGGAAGUUUUAGAGAGUCAUUUAUUUCUGUUGAGUGAUUUUAUUUAGUUUAAAAACAAAAAAAAUAUAGAGGGGAACUUAAAACUUUUUCAAAAAGAGAAGUGAUUGAAAGGAGAUGCAUUGUGGAAGUGAGGGUCGACCUUGAACACUUGUGUUCAUGCUAAUGGAAACAAUGUAGAAUUUUUCAUGGAAGUUUCUCACAAAAAUAAUUAUACCCUUGUACAAUUCCUUUGUGUUUUUAAAAAAUAAUGUGCCAAGUAAAGCCUUUACAAUUAGUUUGGGUGAUAGUUGUUUGAUCACGCAGAGAAAAGACAGAAACUUUCUGCUCACAAAAUUAAUUUUCAUUUUUAUUAUGGAAGAGCUUUUGAGUUGAUUAUUUUUUAUGCUGAUUCAUAUGCAAAUUUUCCAGAUGUUCGUAGGUUUUCAGAUUGUUUGAGAUACCAGAAUUAUACGGAAUAUACAGAUUGCUACACACUCUUCUGUUUUGACAGAUUCUGUUUUCUAUGCAUUGAUCUCUUAUUUUGAUGAAUCUAUGGGUAGUAUCGGGGGGUAUGAACCAUGGUGAAGUUGGAUUACAGUAGAUAUAAUGCUAAUACGAAUUUAGAAUGAGUUCACAACAGUACUUGAAGUGGUGAUUUAUUUUAUUAUACUAACGGAUCUCACGAAGUUUUGUUGAGUUUUGUGUGAUUGAAGUUUUCAAGUUUUGGGUGAGAACACGAUGGAUGAAGGAAUAAGGAGAGGCAACAGCCUAACCUUGGGGAUGCUCGAGGCACCCCAAGGUAAUAUUCAAGGAAGACUCAAGUGUCUAAGCUUGGGGAUGCCCCGGAAGGCAUCCCCUCUUUCAUCUACAAUCUAUCGGUAAUUUUACUCGGAGCUAUAUUUUAAUUCGUCACAUGAUAUGUGAAAAUGCUUGGACCGUCUUUUGUGUUUAUUUUUACUUUUUAUUUUAUGCACCAUGCUGGUAUGAGAUAGUCCUUGGUUGGCUUUAUAGAAUGCUUCUUAUGCUUCACUUAUAUCUUUUGAAGUUUGGAUUGCCUGUUUCCCUACACAUAAAAAACCGCCAUUUGUAGAAUGCUCUUUUGCUUCACUUAUAUUAGUUAGAGCGGGGCAUACCUUUUGUAGAAAGAAUUAAACUCUCAUGCUUCAUUUAUACCUAUUUAGAGAGUUAACAGGAGUUGGUCAUUCACAUGGUUAGUCAUAAAACCCUACAUAAAACUUGUAGAUCACUGAAUAUGAUAUGUUUGAUUCCUUGCAAUAGUUUUGCGACAUGAAUAUGUGAUAUUAGAGUCAUGCUAGUGAGUAAUUGUGUAUUUUUAUAAAUACUUGUGUUAAGGUUCGUGAUUCCCGUAGCAUGCACGUAUGGUGAACCGUUAUGUGAUGAAGUCGGAGCAUGAUUUAUUUAUUGAUUGUCAUCCUCUGUGUGGAGGUCGGGAUCGCGCGAUGGUUAACUCCUACCAACCUUUCCCCUAGGAGCAUGCGUGUAGUACCUUGUUUCGAUGACUAAUAGACUUUUGCAAUAAGUAUGUGAGUUCUUUAUGACUAAUGUUGAGUCCAUGGAUUAUACGCACUCUCACCCUUCCAGCAUUGCUAGCCUCUCUAGUACCGCGCAACUUUCGCCGGUGCAUUACACCCUCCAUAUAGCCUCCCUCAAAAUAGCCACCAUACCUACCUAUUAUGGCAUUUUCUUAGCCAUUCCGAGAUAUAUUGCCAUGCAAAUACCACCGUUCCGUCUCAUGACAUGUGCCACCACUUCCAUAUUGCCAUUGCAUGAUCGUAAGAUAGCUAGCAUCAUGUUUCCAUGGCUUGUCCAUUUUUUGAUGUCAUUGCUAUGCUAGAUCAUUGUCACGGUACACUACCGAAGGCAUUUCAUAUAGAGUCAUCAUUUCUCUAAGUAUUGAGUUGUAAGUGUGAUGAUCAUUAUUAAUAGAGCAUUGUCCCAUGUGAGGAAAUAAAAGAGGCCAGUGAAGCCCAUUUACAAAAAAGAGGCCAAAGAUGCCCACCAAAAUAAAAAAAAUAAAAAAUAAAAGAGGCCAAAGAGCCCACAAAAAAUGAGAGAAAAGAGAGAAGGGACAAUAGCUACUAUCCUCUUUCCACACUUGUGCUUCAAAUAGCACUAUGAUCUUCAUUAUAUAACUUGGCUUGUAUAUUCCAAUGAUGGGCUUCCUCAAAAUUGCCCUAGGUCUUUGUGAGCAAGCAAGUUGGGUGCACACCCACUAGUUUAUUUUGUGAGCUUUCAUACACUUAUAAGCUCUAGUGCAUCCGUUGCGUGGCAAUCCCUACUCACUCACAUUGAUAUCUAUUGAUGGGCAUCUCCAUAGCGUGUUGAUACGCCUAGUUGAUGUGAGACUAUCUCCUCCUUUUUUGUCUUCUCCAUGACCACCAUAUUCUAUUCCACCUAUAGUGCUAUGUCCAUGGCUCACGCUCAUGUAUUGCGUGAAAGUUGAAAAGGUUUUAGAAAACUAAAGUAUGAAACAAUUGCUUGGCUAAAACCACGGUUGUGCAUGAUUUAAAUACGUUGUGUGGGGAAGAUGGAGCAUAGUCAGACUAUAUGAUUUUGUAGGGAUAACUUUCUUUGGCCAUGAUAUUUUGAAAAGACCUGAUUGCUUUGUUAGUAUGCUUGAAAUAUUAUUGCCUUUAUGGAAAAUGAUAUACUAUUUCUUCGAAUCACUCGUGUUUUAGUAUUCAUGCCAUGAUUAGAUUAUAUGAUCAAGAUUAUGCUAGGUAGCAUUCCACAUCAAAAAUUAUCUUUUUUAUCAUUUACCUACUCGAGGACGAGCAGGAAUUAAGCUUGGGGAUGCUGAUACAUAUCCGUCGUAUCUAUAAUUUUUGAUUGUUUCAUGCCAAUAUUCUUCAACUUUCAUAUACUUUUGGCAACUUUUUAUACUAUUUUUGGGACUAACAUAUUAAUCCAGGGCCCAAUGUCAGUUCCUGUUUGUUGCAUGUUUUUGUUUCGCAGAAUAUCCAUACCAAACAAGUCCAAACGUAAUAAAAACUUACGGGGAUUUUUUUGGAAUAUUUAUGAUUUUUGGGAAGAAGAAUCAAUGCGAGGAGAUGCACGGAGUGCCCACAAGCCCUGUCGCCGCGGCCAGGGGGUGGGCCCACGGCAGGCAGGCUUGUGGCCACUCCUUAAUGCGGUUGGAGUCCUUCUUUCGCUGCAGAAACGAUAAUAUCUGGAAGAAAAUCGUGUCAAAAUUUCAGCCCAAUUGGAGUUACGGAUCUCCGGGAAUUUAAGAAACGGUGAAACGCAGAAUCUGGGAGCGUAGAAACAGAAGGACACAAAGAGAGAGAUCCAAUCUUGGAGGGGCUCUUGCCCCUCCGCCGCCAUUGAGACCAUGGACCGGAGGGGAAACCCUUCUCCCAUCUAGGGAGGAGGUCAAGGAAGAAGAAGAAGGAAGGGGGCUCUCUCCCCCUCUCUCCCGGCGGCGC
rnacentral:lncRNA from 1 species